GCUGCCUAUUCUCAUCCGGGGUCACGUCGGUCUUCCGGGUGUCUUUGACAGGGUUUUCUACGCCGCUUUUUCGGCGACUUUUUGCUCUUCCGCUUUUUGCCACCGCCCCCAACCUUCUAUAUCCUUGCAGCCCCUACCUUUUCUUGUGUUGCUCCUCCCCUGGCAGCCUUGCGGGGGGUUAGAUCUCAGCCGGAGCCGGAGCUGGGCCUAGCUGUCCCACGGGCCACCACUACCUCCUUUGGUUCGGGAGAAAGCUACGACCAAGUACGCCCAGCUCGGGCCUUAGAACUUCUGAACGGGCAGUGCGGGUAGGCCCUGCUUAGCCCUUCCCGGAGGACACCUGACCAAAAGAGGAAGAUAGUCUUGGGACCCUUGCAUGGUGUUUCAAAGGGUGGUGAAGAACUAAGGUAGAAGAAUACAUGUUCACUUCCAGUGAACAAGAGCAUGUUCCCAAACUCAAUUUUGGGUCGCCCACCCUUCACUCCAAAUCAUCAACAACAUAAUAACUUCUUUACCCUGUCACCUACUGUUUAUUCACACCAGCAGCUUAUAGAUGCACAAUUCAACUUUCAGAAUGCAGACUUGUCUAGAGCUGUGUCAUUACAGCAGCUGACAUAUGGAAAUGUCAGUCCAAUACAGACCUCAGCUUCCCCAUUAUUUCGAGGAAGGAAGAGAUUAAGCGAUGAAAAAAACCUUCCUCUUGACGGUAAACGGCAACGUUUCCAUUCACCCCACCAAGAGCCAACUGUAGUUAACCAGAUAGUGCCUUUAUCAGGUGAACGAAGAUACUCAAUGCCACCAUUGUUUCAUACACAUUAUGUACCAGAUAUAGUCAGAUGUGUUCCACCUUUUCGAGAAAUUGCAUUUUUAGAACCUAGAGAAAUCACACUGCCUGAGGCCAAAGAUAAGUUGAGUCAGCAGAUACUGGAGUUAUUUGAAACAUGUCAGCAGCAAAUAAGUGAUUUAAAGAAGAAAGAACUGUGUCGAACACAGCUGCAGAGAGAAAUUCAGCUGUUAUUUCCACAAAGCAGACUUUUUUUGGUUGGGUCCUCUUUAAAUGGAUUUGGUACCCGGAGCAGUGAUGGUGAUUUAUGCCUAGUUGUUAAGGAAGAACCAUGUUUUUUUCAGGUAAAUCAGAAGACUGAAGCACGGCAUAUACUCACCUUAGUCCAUAAACACUUCUGUACUAGACUUUGUAAGUCUGACAUGCCUCAAGUUUGUAUGUCACCUGACGUAACUUUACUUAAAAUGCCUCUUACAUUAUCUUCUGCGGGCUACAUUGAGAGACCUCAGCUGAUUCGAGCAAAAGUGCCAAUUGUGAAGUUCAGGGAUAAAGUCAGUUGUGUGGAGUUUGACUUGAAUGUAAACAAUAUUGUUGGAAUAAGAAACACAUUCCUUCUCAGAACUUAUGCAUACCUUGAAAAUCGAGUUCGUCCGUUAGUGCUGGUGAUUAAGAAGUGGGCAAGUCACCAUCAGAUAAAUGAUGCCAGUCGUGGUACUUUAAGCAGCUAUAGUCUUGUAUUGAUGGUUUUGCACUAUUUACAAACCCUACCUGAACCCAUCCUUCCAUCCCUCCAAAAAAUUUACCCAGUCCUUCAAGAGGUAUUCCAGAAGAAGACAUUGUUAUAUGAAAUGACAGCUCCAUGCAUGAUAUUGUCCCCAAAGAUCUUCCAGUGGGACAUGAUGUGGAGGUGGAAGACAGUGAUAGUGAUGAUCCCGAUACUGUGUGGGCCUAAGCUGAUGUGAGUCUUUUAGUCCUGCUAUACAGCUGCACCUUGUACAUCAAGCUCCAAGUAAUGUUCCUCCUUACCUCUCAAAGAAUGAAUCAAACCUUGGGGACCUCUUACUGGGCUUUCUUAAAUAUUAUGCUACAGAAUUUGACUGGAAUAGUCAAAUGAUUUCAGUUCGUGAAGCCAAAGCCAUUCCAAGGCCUGAUGGUAUUGAAUGGAGAAAUAAAUACAUCUGUGUAGAAGAACCUUUUGAUGGAACAAAUACAGCCAGAGCAGUGCACGAAAAGCAGAAAUUUGAUAUGAUCAAGGAUCAAUUUUUAAAGUCAUGGCACAGAUUGAAAAACAAGAGAGAUUUGAACAGUAUACUACCUGUAAGAGCUGCUGUCCUGAAAAGAUAACUGGCCUCUAUUUCUUAAUAAAUUCUUCCAAGAAAUAAAGAACAAUAGUUUCAUCAUAAUACAUUAUGUUUACCUCCAUCAUAGUUGCUUUUUUCAUAGUUCUUGUUUUCAUGUUUUAUUUUUAAAAAGACAUAUAAAGAUUGCAUAUUUUAUUAUGACAUUUCCUAAUAAACCCCUUUGAUUUAAAAAUGUAUUUUUGAAAAUGUUUACAUUGAUGAUGAGUAAUAUUGCAUGUGUUUUCAGGUGAUCAGAUAAAAUAUAUUUUGGGAAAUUAACUGAACAAAUAAAAAGUUUUUGAUAUAACUUCAAUUAAUUGUACCACAUGCUAAUCCUGAAGAGAUGUGUAGAAUUUUGGAAAGGGUCUAAUUCAUACAUGCUUAAAGUAUAACCUACGUUAGAUAGUUUGUUGUCAAAGUCUGUUCUAGUAAAGUGAAGAUUCAAGUCAGUUGUUCAGUUACUUGAAGCAAAAUGAAAUCUUUCAUUUCAGUCAAAUCACUGCAGUCAUGAAAUACUGAACAAUUGCCUUAAGUCUUUGCUUGACUCACUGGGAUAGACUGAGGCUUUGGGUGUGUCUGUAUUAGCAUUUCAUUAGUACUUCACAUGCUUUUGAUGUACUCUUGAGAUUGCUUUAAAUUUUGUAUUGAAACAACAAUACAUUUUGCACUGUAGUAAUGGGAGCACUAACUCUUACAACAGUUAGUGAAUCGUUUUAAAGAAUCAGUUCAGUGUAGACAUUUUGAAAAGAUUGUUUCCUGUGCUUUACGAUAGCUUAGUGCAAUGUGCACUUCCGUUUUACUUGCCAUUUUCCUGCUCUGUUUUCUCUGUGACAUGAAGCAACAGAAACUGAGAUCAAAGUUAAGAUUAUAUCCUGUUUGUAGUAUCAGAUAUUUUUCUGUGUACAAUUAUAGGAUUGUAAUCUAAACUGGAAUUUUUAGGCAGUAAGUCACCACAAAAUGUUUUAGAUAAGACACAAUAAAAUUAUUAUAAAUAAAAGCUUAAUGUUUGUAAAAAAUCUCUUUUUUAGUAUUUCUUUUUUCACAUGAAAGAAGUGGUGGCUGCUAAAAAAAAAAAGCUACAGUGUUUAUUAAGGGUCUUUUUGAUUUAUGUAAAUAUUUGUAAAUUGGUCAGUGCCUGUAAAUUUAAAUAUAAAAAGUAAUCUUGAAAACAGUUUUAACUUUUUCAAAAGAACUAUGUCCAACAUUUUUUAGACCUGCUGUAGUAGUUUUGUACCUCUAACGUAUUUUUUUUUUGCAGACCAAAUGCUAAAACUUUUGCUUUUCUUUGACUUGUAAAAGGUGCACAUUUUCAUUUUCUUCCUUAAGUUCAAAUUUUUGUAUGAUGUCAAAUGCAAUAAAAUUUAUAUAUGGACA